rnacentral:rRNA from 1 species
GUGGGGAAUAUUGGACAAUGGGCGAAAGCCUGAUCCAGCCAUGCCGCGUGUGUGAAGAAGGUCUUCGGAUUGUAAAGCACUUUAAGUUGGGAGGAAGGGCAGUAAGUUAAUACCUUGCUGUUUUGACGUUACCGACAGAAUAAGCACCGGCUAACUUCGUGCCAGCAGCCGCGGUAAUACGAAGGGUGCAAGCGUUAAUCGGAAUUACUGGGCGUAAAGCGCGCGUAGGUGGUUUUGUAAGUUGGAGGUGAAAUCCCCGGGCUCAACCUGGGAACUGCCUCCAAAACUGCAUGACUAGAGUACGGUAGAGGGUAGUGGAAUUUCCUGUGUAGCGGUGAAAUGCGUAGAUAUAGGAAGGAACACCAGUGGCGAAGGCGACUACCUGGACUGAUACUGACACUGAGGUGCGAAAGCGUGGGGAGCAAACAGGAUUAGAAACCCGGGUAGUC